UAAGUGCGUGGGCCCUGGUUGAACUGACAUGGAAUGACCCUGCUUGUUGUCUGAACUCUUGGCUGUGUGAGAUGAACAAGCCUGACAGGGCUUGACUACUGAGUUUGGGAGAAAAAACAAAAACACCCCCCCAAAGACCCCCAUCGACAGCUGCUGUCUUAUGACAAGAUCUCCAACAGGUUUGGCAGGGUUGGCUAAGUGGAACAGCAAGCUCAGGCACACAGACCAUGUGAGAAUAUAACUGUUACUCUCAACAGGGUCAGGGCGAUACUAGGCUAUUUUAGUGUGCACGGCUCGAAACAUCACAAAAAAAAAAAAAAGAUUAUGAAUGGAAGCUAUCUGGUGUGCGGAUCAUCUCUUAUCCUCUUGAUUUAUUUCAAAAUACCAUUACCAUGUUACCAUGGAGACUAGAUGACAGCUCCUGGACAGACUUUGAGAGACAUUGCAUAAAAUCCCAAGCACUUCUAUCCAAAGAUUCUAGAGCGGAGCGUAGCGCUCUAGAAUCUUUGCUUCUAUCUGUGUUGGGAUCGUUUUGAUUUGUUUGCUUUUAAGAAGGAAGCCCUGUGCACUGGUGAGAGCCCAUUGUGAGCGGCAUUUAGGGGGUGAGAAUUUGGCUGUGAAAAGAAAUGGGAGGAAACAGUAAGAGAAUAAUGAAGUCACGGGUCUCAUGACACAUGAGACUGCGGUGUAAACACUUGUUUUCUUCUUGCCCCCCAUUGUUGAACAAGCGCUAACGCCUCUGCCUUUUUCCAAUGCAAUUUUAAACUCGCUUUGUGAGGAGAGCUUUGUUGUCUCAAAGGAGGUCAUAUUUCCCUUGAGGAAGAAGUAUGCGUGUGCAUAUAAACUUCAUGAGAACUGAACGGGAAAAUAAAUGACUUGGCCUCAGUUAACAUUCUACUUAGAAUUACAUUUGCAUUUAGGUAUGCCAUGUAGCCUAUUAGCCUACUUUCCAAAAGGCAGAAGAGUCCUCAACGUAACCAAAAUGAAUACAAAGUGCCCAGACAACACACAAACAGCGCAUGGUAAAGCUGGAGAAGUGGUCUGGAAUGGAGACACUUCAACAACCUGCCUGCCAUUUCCUUUCCCGUGGCUGAACAAGAGGAAAGAAUUCAAUGGCUUGCCUGCGAGUUUGGAACAAAUGGAUGGCAACAAUCUGGUCAGCGAGUUUUUGGUCUUUGAUUGCCCUCUUCAAAUGUCCUUCAAACAAAGGCUGUGGGUGAAAAUAAAGCCCCACCUGGUACUUCUGUUUGCUAAAAUAAUAAUAAAUAGAUUUCGUUUAAUAAAUAAUGGCAAGGUACUGUAAAGUGAAGUAGUAACGGAAGUAUUAAUCAUGAGGCUUGGGGCACCUAUCACCUGCUCUCCAGUUAGUAUGGUUUAUUGUUAAAUAUUGUUAAAUCACUUUCGGACCAACUCUGACGAUAUCUAUAAUUUCCACAGCAACUGGGGGCCAAUGUUUGCCUAUGCUUUGCAUAGCAAGCAGGAUAUUACAAGACACUGAUAAAAAAUCAGACGACAAAACUGAGAGAUUCAAACUCACACCUGUCCGCGAUACGAGAAUAUGGUUUUGGCAUCAAUGGUUAUUUGUAAAGCCGUACUAUUUGGUUUACUUUGGAUUAUUUUGAGCUUUUUAUAACACCAUGACAACACCCCCUAUCUCUUAGGUGUAUUUGUUCAUUUUAUUGAAAGCAUAUGGUUAUCAGAUGCCCCCCAAAAUACAUAUUUAGUUAGAAUGCCGAGAAGUACCUAUGUGGGCACUGCGUAGACAAUGGCAAACAUCUAAUGUUAAACUAAGUUAGUCUCAUAAACGCCAAAGAUUGAGAUACAAAGUACCUGAGAAUAAACCAAACAUGUGCGGCCAGUUUGUUUAGUAAGGCUUGACUAUCAUUGGUUAAAAAACAACGUGUACUCUCCUGCUUCAUUGUACUCCAAACAGGUGACACAAGGGCGCACGUAUGAUCCACGGCCGAAUAAUUAUUUUAUAAUAUAUUUGUAGCGACUAAUAACAGAAUCUGAUGAAUUAAUAAUGCCUUAGGUUGAUUUCAACCAAACCUUUUUUUCCUUUUUUGAUGAUAUUCGUCGAAAUAAUUCACAGCGUAAAUCACAACUAAACUAUCUCCAUUUGGACAUGCGUAUUGGUUCCAUGGUUUCCUUUCAAAAUGUAUUGAUAUUCAAGUAAUGGAGGUUUAAAAGGUAUACUUUGUAUAUCUAUGAUGCUCUGCUGAGAACACAGCAGAUUCUUCCAAAUAUGACUCAGUUUAACGCAGUCUUGACCAACUAAAUUCCUUCCAACGCUAUUUUAUCUCCAUCGUGGAAACUCGUUUUGGAGUGUAUAAAGCGCAAUAUAUAAUCGCGGUGUUGUUGGGAAUGUUAUUGGGAAUUGGUUUCUUUUAAGGAUAAAUGCAAACAUGCCAAGAGUAAAUUAUUUAAAAACGCAUCUUCAUUAUAUGCUAUAUAGACCUAUAACUAUUUGCAUGGAAUGCAUUCUAGUUCAUGAUGGGUUACGCAGCUAUUUUCUCGGAGGUUCAUAGUAAACGAUUACGCACUGAAUUGCUUAAACCAGGCAAAAACAUUUAGAAGAGAGAGUGAACAUCGAAUAAGUGUUUGGCAUGAAAGGUGCUCAAUUCAAUGUCUGCGUAAACGAUUUGUUUACCAAUUGCCACAUGGCCCUUUUCACGGCCAUGCUGUCUUUUGUUGAACUUGGGGAUUGGAACUCAAGUAAAGACUGGGCAGAGACUCUCAAAGACCCCUCUAGAAGAUGAUUGGCCACUUCCCAGCCCUAUUUGCUCUAAGGCACGCUCCAUGCGCACUGAUAAGAUAAAUGAUACAUAAAUGACCAAUGACCAUCAAUGCGUCAUUGUCCAUGGAAGCUGAAAAAGGCACGACGACUUCAGACUUCGCCUCUUCCACGGAAAGCUCAGCCUAACUUUGAGACCUGAAAACCAUUCAAUUAAGGACUCUGAGCAAUUCAAAGCCAUUUAGGUGAAGCGCAAGUGGGACAGGAUGUCUCCCAAAUCGGCGUGCGAUUCUACCGACAGACAUGGGGUGUGUGAUUCUGAAGUCAGUGACCAGUCAAGCCAACUCUCUGGGCGCGGAAGGAGCGAAAAUCAGCAAUACAGAAUUGCGUCAAAAAGAGAUGCGAGAAUGAAGGACAAACGCAUUACAGCUGGUGAAAAUAAAACAAUUGUCAGGUUCAGAUCCAAAGCCGGCAAAUACUGGGUCAAGCAACGGGU